rnacentral:rRNA from 1 species
UACGAAGGUGGCAAGCGUUGUUCGGAUUUACUGGGCGUACAGGGAGCGUAGGCGGUUGGAUAAGCCCUCCGUGAAAUCUCCAGGCUUAACCUGGAAAGUGCAGAGGGGACUGUUCAGCUAGAGGAUGGGAGAGGAGCGCGGAAUUCCCGGUGUAGCGGUGAAAUGCGUAGAGAUCGGGAGGAAGGCCGGUGGCGAAGGCGGCAUCCUGGACCGGCAUUGACGCUGAGGAGCGAAAGCCAGGGGAGCAAACGGG